AACGAACGCUGGCGGCAUGCCUAACACAUGCAAGUCGAACGAGACCUUCGGGUCUAGUGGCGCACGGGUGCGUAACGCGUGGGAACCUGCCCUUAGGUUCGGAAUAACUCCCCGGAAGGGGUGCUAAUACCGGAUAAUGUCUUCGGACCAAAGAUUUAUCGCCUUUGGAUGGGCCCGCGUUGGAUUAGCUAGUUGGUAGGGUAAAAGCCUACCAAGGCGACGAUCCAUAGCUGGUCUGAGAGGAUGAUCAGCCACACUGGGACUGAGACACGGCCCAGACUCCUACGGGAGGCAGCAGUGGGGAAUAUUGGACAAUGGGCGAAAGCCUGAUCCAGCAAUGCCGCGUGAGUGAUGAAGGCCUUAGGGUUGUAAAGCUCUUUUACCCGGGAUGAUAAUGACAGUACCGGGAGAAUAGGCUCCGGCUAACUCCGUG
rnacentral:rRNA from 1 species